UACGUAGGGUGCAAGCGUUGUCCGGAAUUAUUGGGCGUAAAGGGCUCGUAGGCGGUCCAUCGCGUCGGGAGUGAAAAGCUGGGGCUCAACCCCAGUCCUGCUUCCGAUACGGGUGGACUAGAGGUAUGCAGGGGAGAACGGAAUUCCUGGUGUAGCGGUGAAAUGCGCAGAUAUCAGGAGGAACACCAAUUGCGAAGGCAGCUCGCUGGGACGUGACUGACGCUGAGACGCGAAAGCGUGGGGAGCAAACAGG
rnacentral:rRNA from 1 species